AUUAAUGCUAAUUCAUAUUUGUUGUACAUUUAUAGCAGACAAGCCAAUGUAAAUGGUCAAUUACACUUAACCACAACAGAUUCGAAAUUUUCUCUUGGUCUAGGUCUAUGCUGUGAAGUCAGAUAUUACUGCUUGAUGUGAAUCACCAACCAGAAUUGACCUAGGAAAAUGGUUAAACUCCAAGGAAUUGCGUUCACCUUGGGUCAUCCUGAUGCAAACUGAAUGCAAUCAUAUGGGGCUGACACCAUCAAGUGUCUUCCUUGAGGCAGCUCAACAUGGCGUUGCCCCUCACCGAUGAUUACUUUCAUGAUGUAGCACUUUCGAUAGUGAAUUACAUAAAUGCUCACUACAGAUUGAUUCUGGCACUGGAGGUCAAGAUGGAGUGCCGAUUUCUCCUGGCUGAAGGGAGGAAAGAGGUUGCAUUGGAUAAACGUCUAUGAGCAGAAGACCAAAAGAUAUAAUAAUAAUCCUUGCAUUUGAUAUAGUGCCUUAUCAUAUUGUUAACACAUCUCAAAGCGCUUCACAGAAUAUGCUGCAAAGUGAAUUGACUGUACAUUUUUGGGGCUUGAUAUCCUCACGUUAAUGUUACAGAAACACACCCAGUAUCAACAUCGAAAAAAGGAAUUAUGGUUGCACACACAUCAUUAGCGUAUGAUGCAAAAACAUUGAGAAAAAGAUGUAUAUGUACCACAAUGGUUGCCAAGAAAAUGCCAUUUCACAAUUACGUUGUUCUCAGCAACAACAGCCAUCAUUUAGGCCACCCAAGAUUUUUAAUGAUCAGCUGUUUUAUUCAAAGAAUUAGGACGUCCGUGACAUAAUGAUUUAAGUUCCAGUCUACAGUGGACCUUGUCAUGUAAUCUUGAAAAAUGAAAACGCACAUGUUAAUUCUGUACAAACUAAUUGGUACAAAUUUAUCACCGUCGUAUGGAUAUUCAUGAAUACCGUUUGAAUAAAUAAAGCAACAGCAGCCGUGUGUCU